ensembl:lncRNA
CUGCUUUUGGCGGCUCCUGUGAAUCAUGGCGGCUCCUGUGAACAUGUGAAUCAGGCUGAACAAACCCUGUUCCUUCAGCUUACUCUCAAAGGAGAGGUGCUCCAGCCAUCGGAUCAUCUUCAUGGCCCUCUUCUGGACCCUCUCCAACAGCUCCACAUCCUACCUGUGGUGGGUCCCCAGACUUGGAUACAGUACUCUAGAUGGGGCCUCAUGAGGGCAGAAUAGAGGGUGAAAAUCCCCUUCCCUGCUGGCCACUCCUCUUUUGAUGGAACCCCAUCGGCCUUCUGGGCUGUGAGCACACACUGCUGGCUCAUUUAAAGCUGUAAAUCAACCAGGACCCCUAAGUUCUUCCCAGCAGAGCUACUCUUAAGGAGUUCUCCUACUUCGUAUACGUAUCUGGGAUUACCAUCACCCAAGUACAAAACCUUGCACUUUGCUUUGUUGAACCUCAUUAUGCUGAACCUCAUUAGGUUCACAAAGUCCCACUGUUUGAGUUUAUCAGGGUCCCUGUGGAUGACACCCCUUCCUUGAUUCAACCACACCACUCAGCUUAGUGCCAUCAGCAAACUUGCUGAGGGUACACUCAAUCCCAUCACCUAUAUCACUGAUAAAGAUUUUAAAGAGUACUGGACCUAAGAGAGACCCUUGAAGGAUACAACUCAUUACAAACCUCCACCUGGACACAGCCAUUGAUCACAACCCUCAACUGUGACUUUCCAACCAAUUCCUUAUCCUUCGAAGAGUCCACCCUUCAAAUCCAUAUCUCUCCAAUUUAGAGACAAGGAUGUGGUAGGGGAUCAUGUAAAAGGCUUUGUAGAAGUCCAGGUAGAUGACAUCAGUUGCCUUCCUUUGUCCACAAUGCUGUCACUCCAUCAUAGAAGGCCACCACAUUGGUCAGGCACGACCUUCCCUUGGUGAAGCCAUGCUGGCUGUCUAAGACACCCACUCAUCACUCACGUGCCUUAACAUGUCUUCCAUGAGGAUCUGUCCCAUGAUCUUCCCAGGCAAAAAGGUGAGGCUCAUCAGCCUGUAGCCCCCUAGAUCUUCCUUUCUCCCUUUCUUGUAAACAGGAGUGAUGUUUCCUUUUUCCAGUCCCCAGGGACAAAGGAAUCAUGGAACUGUCAGCCAGGAGACUUUUGGCUAAAAAGGAAUAUCAAAAUCUUUUGUUGUCUUUUCUUUAG